UACAGAGGGUGCGAGCGUUGUUCGGAAUUAUUGGGCGUAAAGCGCAUGUAGGCGGCUUGUUAAGUCGCGUGUGAAAGCUCCAGGCUCAACCUGGAAAGUGCGCGCGAAACUGGCGAGCUUGAGUGCCGGAGAGGGUGGCGGAAUUCCCGGUGUAGAGGUGAAAUUCGUAGAUAUUCGGAAGAACACCAGUGGCGAAGGCGACUUACUGGACACAUAUUGACGCUGAGGUGCGAAAGCGUGGGGAGCAAACAGG
rnacentral:rRNA from 1 species